rnacentral:misc_RNA from 1 species
AUUAGAUGAGACACGAUCUAAUAUACUCUUUGAAUCAUUAUAAGCUCAAACGUGUUUCGAUAAUUGGAUCAGGGCAGCCUUAAGGCAGUAAGAGAUCACACGCAAAGAAAAUAAAGAUUUAUAUGACAUAAGAACCAAUGGACCAACAACGGGAUCAAGUUGUUGUCGAAACGAUUAGGGUAAGGGAGUUAUCUAACUCUAAAUACAAGGUAAGAGAACUAAGUGAGCUUUGAUUCCUUUGAACUCCAACAGGAUACGUAGCCAACUUAAUUUCUACAAAAUUAAGU